rnacentral:rRNA from 1 species
GUAUGCCUACGGGGCGCAGCAGUCGGGAAUAUUGCGCAAUGGAGGAAACUCUGACGCAGUGACGCCGCGUAUAGGAAGAAGGUUUUCGGAUUGUAAACUAUUGUCGUUAGGGAAGAAAAAAAGACAGUACCUAAGGAGGAAGCUCCGGCUAACUACGUGCCAGCAGCCGCGGUAAUACGUAGGGAGCGAGCGUUAUCCGGAUUUAUUGGGUGUAGAGGGUGCGUAGACGGGUAUACAAGUUGGUUGUGAAAUCCCUCGGCUUAACUGAGGAACUGCAACCAAAACUGGAUAUCUUGAGUACAGGG